rnacentral:rRNA from 1 species
UACCAGCACCCCGAGUGGUCGGGACGUUUAUUGGGCCUAAAGCAUCCGUAGCCGGUUCUACAAGUCUUCCGUUAAAUCCAACUGCUUAACAGGUGGGCUGCGGAAGAUACUAUAGAGCUAGGAGGCGGGAGAGGCAAGCGGUACUCGAUGGGUAGGGGUAAAAUCCGUUGAUCCAUUGAAGACCACCAGUGGCGAAGGCGCUACACUAGAACGGCUCUGACAGUGAGGGACGAAGCCCUGGGGCGCAAACCGG